rnacentral:rRNA from 1 species
GUGAGGAAUAUUGCGCAAUGGAGGCAACUCUGACGCAGCCAUGCCGCGUGCAGGAAGAAGGCGCUACGCGUUGUAAACUGCUUUUAACCGGGAAGAAACCCCAGGACGUGUCCUGGGUUGACGGUACCGGAGGAAUAAGCACCGGCUAACUUCGUGCCAGCAGCCGCGGUAAUACGAAGGGUGCAAGCGUUAUCCGGAUUCAUUGGGUUUAAAGGGUGCGUAGGCAGAGCGUUAAGUCAGUGGUGAAAUCCUGCAGCUUAACUGUAGACUUGCCAUUGAUACUGGCGCUCUUGAGUGCGCUUGAAGUGGGCGGAAUGUGCCGUGUAGCGGUGAAAUGCUUAGAUAUGGCACAGAACACCAAUUGCGAAGGCAGCUCACUAAGGCGAUACUGACGCUGAGGCACGAAAGCGUGGGGAUCGAACAGGAUUAGAAACCCUUGUAGUCC